AACGCUUUUUCUUUCACCGGAGCUUGCUCCACCGAAAGAAAAAGAGUGGCGAACGGGUGAGUAACACGUGGGUAACCUGCCCAUCAGAAGGGGAUAACACUUGGAAACAGGUGCUAAUACCGUAUAACACUAUUUUCCGCAUGGAAGAAAGUUGAAAGGCGCUUUUGCGUCACUGAUGGAUGGACCCGCGGUGCAUUAGCUAGUUGGUGAGGUAACGGCUCACCAAGGCAACGAUGCAUAGCCGACCUGAGAGGGUGAUCGGCCACACUGGGACUGAGACACGGCCCAGACUCCUACGGGAGGCAGCAGUAGGGAAUCUUCGGCAAUGGACGAAAGUCUGACCGAGCAACGCCGCGUGAGUGAAGAAGGUUUUCGGAUCGUAAAACUCUGUUGUUAGAGAAGAACAAGGAUGAGAGUAAAAUGUUCAUCCCUUGACGGUAUCUAACCAGAAAGCCACGGCUAACUACGUGCCAGCAGCCGCGGUAAUACGUAGGUGGCAAGCGUUGUCCGGAUUUAUUGGGCGUAAAGCGAGCGCAGGCGGUUUCUUAAGUCUGAUGUGAAAGCCCCCGGCUCAACCGGGGAGGGUCAUUGGAAACUGGGAGACUUGAGUGCAGAAGAGGAGAGUGGAAUUCCAUGUGUAGCGGUGAAAUGCGUAGAUAUAUGGAGGAACACCAGUGGCGAAGGCGGCUCUCUGGUCUGUAACUGACGCUGAGGCUCGAAAGCGUGGGGAGCGAACAGGAUUA
rnacentral:rRNA from 1 species